UAGUGGGUCCUUGGAGCUUCCCCACCUGCCCGAGACGCCUCUCCCGUCAGCUUCCAGCAGCUGAAACAGGGCAGAGGACGGACAGAAGAGCUUGCAAAAGGCUGCAGAUCUCCUAAGCAGGGCCCAGGGCAGUCUGCACUUCCUUUGCUGUGCAAACGGCAUACGUGGCGGCAGAAGAGGGCUGCGGGAUCCUGGCUUUCCUCUCAAGUGUUUACUUCUGGCGUGUUUCCAACACGAAUAAGUAGUUUGUUACCAAUGACAAUUUUUUACUGUUUUUCCUAGAACUGCAGCCUCUGGACUUCAUAAUCUGAGUAUUAAUUAAAAAGAAACAUUCUAGCCUUAAAAGGUUCCACAGAGUAAAGCCUGAAAAUUUGACCCAAGAAUAAACUAUGGGCUCAGAAAUGACAAGGAAAUAAAAAAACCAACCCAUUUUUCUCAUUAUUCAAAAUUCAUAAUUUUAAGCAAUUCUCAUAAUUGGGAUGGGGGCUCAGAAAAUGAUCUCUAAAUUACUUAGAAUGAAAAUACUUCUGUUUACACAAAAAACAUUUAACAUGAGAAAUACUCACAAAACAGUGUGCCACCAUGCUCACUCAACAGCAAAAUUUUAAAAAAUUGUUCUCAAGCAUAGAGGCCAAAAUGAAAAAAAUACGUAAAAUGAAGCGUUGACUCUGAAACAGAGUGAAGACCAUUAUGAGUUAGUAUGAACAUUUAUUUCUGUCAGAACAUGAUGCACUAUUUCACCGCCGGAAAGCAAGGGAGGCACAGGAACACAACGGACGUGCAUGAGGACUAGAGUGAACUCCUUCGCAUGAUUUCCACCCGCCUGGUGGGGCAGCACAAAAUGCCCCUCAGGGAUGAGAGGACUGAGGUCUUGGUAUGCAAAUGAGAGCAAGGCAUCUUGGAAGUCAGAGUCCUGAGAACUUUCCGGACUCCAGUCCUCUGCGCCUGACACAGGAGAAAAGCCAUCUCAUGGAUUACAUCCAUGCGUCCUUCAUCCUCAAACUGGGUAUGGUUUCCCCAGCCUGCACAGCGCAAGCCACAGGAGACGCUGCUCUGCCAAAACAGGCUCCUCAGGUCCAUCCCAGGAAAAGUGUCCCCCAUUGCUGAGGGCCCUACGAGCAGCACCAGCGAGGGGCUGAUCCUGCAAGAGGCUGAAGUUAAUGCGAAUACAGGGCAGCUGUGAGGAUUGGCUCUGGUCAGCUCUGAACUUGCUAUUGGAUCUGCUCUGAAAUAUGGAUCCCAAAGCGCCGCAUCUUGCAGGAUUCCAUCCCCCCCCCGCCCCCACAUCUGGCUGAAGAUUGGGUCUUAAUUAGGAAUAAUUCAGAAUCGAUUGUGGGGCAGUUUAAUGACUGUGCAGUAAGCUUAAAGAAAAGUGGUGCUGGUAUCUCAUUCGCCAGACUGACGGGGACCAACAACCUUGGACAAUCAGCACACUCAGCCCUAGGGUGGAGCUGGCAGGAUGGUGAAAUAUGGGCUCACUCAGACUUUGGUCUCUGAAAGGGACAUGGAAGGACAAUCUCCUCCCCUCACAUUAGGUAAAUAACCAUCUCAAAACAUAUUUUAAAACAAACAUUUGUAUGAAGUACAUUGUGUGGGUCUGCUAAGCUUUCAGAGAGAGAUGUGUGUCUGUGUCGAGGCAAUACGGACCUUGGAAUAAGAUGAGGCCCAUGUAUGUAACUAAACAAAACCACCACAAAAUUAGAUUCAAAGAUAUUUAUUAGGGCAAUUCAAGUUCAUGCUCCAUUUGAAAUACAAAGCACCAGAGUUUAGAUAACUGAUUAUCCAAGUAUCAUCCAGCUGAAGCUGCUGAGCUGUGUACAGACAUGUAUUUAUUAGAUAUCACAGUCCCAGAUCAUAUUCACUUGAAGAAUGGUGAACAAACAAAAAUACAUUGGAGCAGUGGCUGCUAUGAGGCAAACUCUCCUAUUUCUGAGGUCUUGGCAAGAUGUUUUUACAACACUUACCCUUCUCACUAGAGACCUCAGAAGAAUAAUAUAAUACAACUCCCCUCACUACCAGUAGAUUACACAUCUAGGAUAUUUUAUGGCAUUAAACACAACCUCCAAAUACAGUUUAGCAUUUUUGUUUUGCCAAAGAUUUUUAAACACAGAUUUAAUUUUUCUUAAAAAACAAAACAAAACACAAGUCCAUGGCAAACCCCACAUUCUUUUGUACUCAGCGAUGAAUUAUCCCAGCACAACAUUCAACUGAGAAGUAAAGCACUAUGGCUGUGAUUACAUUAGGAACUUUACACAAUGGCAAUUCAGGGUGCUGUCAACAAAUGUAAAUAAACUGCUGCUGCAAAACAGUUUAAUUGCAAGUGCACACAGGACUACAUUAUGUUCAGCAGUUUCAGAAACUAGCUAGCUGCACCCAUUGUCAACAUGGCGUAACUUUCCUAAUGUAGACUUAAAGGCUAGAAUCUGAUCUUAGAUACCUGAUGGGCAUUCCCAGGGUACCUAAAAUCAUAAUAUGGGUUUCUAGUUUUAGGCUGAAACCUCAAUGACGCAAAAAAUUUAGAGAUUUGUU